AAUACAUUUUAAUUACUCGAAGAUAAAAGGGAGCCUCAGAUAUAAUUUGCUACUCGUUCUCUUUACAGAAGACGAAAUGUUAAGAAAGGAGUUCAGGAGGAAAUGCUUGCGAGGGAAUUUAUAACCACUUCUUUGCUUCUGGGAAUGCCUGAUGCCGACGGGUUUGAACUGGAGGCUUCCUUGUUUGUUCAUUGGAAAGGUGUUUACCCAAGAGAAAUAAAUGUCCCCGUUUAAAGACUAGUCCACAAAUGUGCACAGUAGUAUUUGUUACAUACGAAGGCUGGAAAAAACCCAGAUGUUCAUCACAAGGUCUCUCUCGUCAGAGUUUCUGUUGACUGUGCUGUCCAUGACCAGGAAAAGUCUUGUCCUGCAUUUGCUCACUUCAGGUACCAAAACUGGGGGUCAUGCAUGCAUCAUGUUUUCUAUAGAAGGUAGGUUUCUUAACUUCCAAAAGAAAUGGAAUUCACUCUACAUCAUUAAAGUAGAUGAUAUGUUAAUUAAAGGUAAUUAAGUUAUAUGCAGAAUUGUGAGAAUGGCUAAGGAAAUAUAUUCAAAGGUAAGAUGGCAGGGA
rnacentral:lncRNA from 1 species